AGUCUUGUUGAAGUAGUAGAAGAUGAGGGCUGGUAGGGUGAGCACGUAUAAAAAGUCAGCCAGAGCCAAAUUGAACAUGUACACGGAGAUGCCGCUCCAAGGCUUCAUGUGGAAAACGAACAUCCAGAUAGCCACGCUGUUGCCUAGGAAGCCUAUGAUGAACACUAAAAUGUAGACGGCCGGCAGGUAGUAGAACUGGAAACCGGUCUUGGUCAGGGCACAUUGGAAUGAAGAGGAAACUGCUGCAGUUGAGGCGACAGUACUGUUUCCCCAAAGCGAGCCCAGGCCAGCCAGAAAGGCAGCAUCCGUCCCGUUGGGGACAGCCGACCAAGGCACCUCGGUCAUCCUCUUCUUUCCAACUCAGACAGCUACUAGAAAGGGCAGACCGCGGCGAGCGGGCAGCAGCGGCGAGAGACUCAGCGCGCAUCGGAGGCGCGGGUCAGGGACCGCGCGCGGGAGUUCCCCACGGGUCGGAGCGCGCAGGGGCUCGCCCACGCCGGCUCUGGCCGCGCGUUUGUCGCGGGCCAUGAAAUUCGCCCGGGGCUGCGACCGAUCUAAGCUGAAGGACGGGCGGGCAACUUCCCGGUCCAGCUGGCGGCGCGGAGGUUACACAACAGGACGCGCAGGGCACCUCCACCAAGUUUGCAAGUGCGCUCCCGCGCAGGGCGACUGAUAGGCGCUGCUUAGAGCGCCUGGGGCGCGGCGGGUCAAGUCCAAGUAGUUUGGCGGUUCCCAGCGGCCCGAAGGCGCAGGCCAACCACCUCCUUCCUCUCUGUGAUCAACUUUGCCUGGCCAUCUGCCUGCUCCCUACCUUGCAACCCCGGACCUUCACCGGGGACGCCGCGACUCUUCUUCCGGCCACAUUCUGAGCCCGCGCUCAACCUUGGAGAUCUUUUGGAGAGCGCGUGGCCUCGGACCCUGGCGUACUACCAACCCUGUACCCCGCUCACAGUCCAUGAAGGCUGCAGUCUCCGUGCUCGGCUGGGUCUCGAGUGCAGGGGGCAGGAGAGAAAGCCAGGCUCCCAGAGGGGUGGGCGGAGCCUGGGAGCCCGGGCGAGUCUGUGCACCGCGGGGAGGCAAGGGGCGUGUCUCCGCCUUGCAAGCUCCGGGCCGCGGGCUCAGGGCUGGGCGCCCAGGGCGGGAGGUGGCCUCUGGAAGCAGAGAUCGCAGUGCCCCUGCACGCCUGGCACGGCCGCCACCACUCGAAUCAGUGGUCAGAACAAAAGGUGCUCUAGGGCAGCGGUGGCUUCUGGCCAGCGUAUGGCUGGAGGGGUUUCCUCGGUCCUCCACCAGCUAGCUCUGUAAAGUGAAGUUGCUGACACACUGAAAACCUUCUGGAAGCUGGCAGCGUUGUGUCUAAAGCUUGGAGGGGAGCAGUCUGAGACAGACAUCUCCAGAGCCUCCCCGGAACUCGCAAGGUGUUUGCAGGCUCCAGACAACCAGCGGUUUGCAGGUGGGCACGCCCUAGCCCUGCACAGCGCCUUGCUUUGCCCAACGCGUGUAGGAACCUGCUGAUCCCAGAGGGUGCCAGCUCUGAAUGAGUGAGGGUGGUAAGCGGCAUGGGCAAGUCGCUUUCUGCCCUUCAUGUCUGUUUGUUUUUAUUGUUGUUUGCUUUAUUAUUAAUCCAAAUACUAUUUUUUUUGCACUACUUAGAAAAAUGCUAAUACAGCAGCAUCACUGGUAACAUUAUUGUGAGAAUGUACAUAAGAACCUGGUCUAACUGCUUAGUUAACGCACCACACAUCAUCAGUCCAACUUGACUGCUAACACUUGCUGGAAAGAACAAGCGCCCUCCCUCCAACCUCCAGUUACCAUUUACAUACAUUUAAAUAAUAGAGACUACAGUGAAAGUGAUUCUGAAUCAAGCUGAAUAUUAAACACAGCUUUAUAAAGAAAGAGGGUUCAUUUGUUGAGGGAUAACUUUACAGUCUGGCUUUAUUGUGAAUCUUAUUUCUUAAAAUGUCUGAAUGUAGACAGAGACCAAUGUAGUUACUUUAUUUAUUGUAAAUCUUAGUCUAGGGUUCCAAAUGCAUAAAAAAAUGUGGGCAAUAUAUUCAAAAUGUGUUUAUAUUUAAUUGUAAACUAAAUGGAUUGUUUCCUACCUCAAGACAUAAUUAAACAGACCCACCCAAGAAUGGAACC
rnacentral:lncRNA from 1 species